GUGUAUUUUUAAUCAAAUGUAUUGUUAAAUCAUGAGGUUCUGUCUUUAUUGAUAUUAGUUUGGACUCAUAUUAAGAUAUGAGUAAUUUUUUUUGUUUGGAAUAUGUUCCCUGUGUGUCUAAUUAUAUCAAUUUCCAUCUAAUUAAUUGAAUAUCUGUAUAUGUCUUAAUUUCCUGUGAUCCACCCUUUUGAGGCCUAAUCUUUCAAGUCCAACAUUUUGUAGCAUGAUGUUUCUAUGUUCCAGUAAUUGCAUCUAUGGAGAGCUCUGGUGACGAAGUUAAGUUCAAGUGGGCAUGGUUUCGCUGUACUGGACUACCUGCGACUAGAGCGCAUCUGACCACUGAGGUGAAGUCCAAAAAUAUGGAAGCCACAAGAAAUCCAGACAUCAUCACACUUUCCGAAGAUGAGGAAAGCAUCCAUCCUACGAAGGUGUCAGAGGAUGAGAUGGCAUUUUCAAAUGUGCAGGGCGACAACGACGAUGAUGGUGACGAUGAAGAAGAUGCCAUUACUACAGAGGAGGAGUUCUGCUUGAGGCUGGACACGAUGAGGGAGUUUUUCCUGCAGCAGCUGAAGCUCUUAAGGGAAUCUGUGGCCUGUUCUCAGAUAAAGAUGCAGGAGGAUUUAAAAUCCUCCAGGGAGGCCACAGAAACUAGUCUGAAUGAGGAGCACAAUCGAUACGCUGAGUGGCUAGAAGCCAGGGUCAAAACUGAUCUCCAGCUGCUGGAGGAAAAUCAUAAAGCGGCUGGUCAUAGGGUGGAGGAAAUGGUUAAGGCCAUGGGGGAAGCACUUGGCCAUGGUUAA
ensembl:lncRNA